GGAGGCGAAUGUGGCCUGGUGGCCGCCCCGGGCUUCAAACCCGCGCGAGGGGCGAUUUGAGUCGUCCUUGGUGUGUUCGAUUCGCACACGCCUCC
rnacentral:tRNA from 1 species